rnacentral:rRNA from 1 species
UUGGGAAUCUUCGGCAAUGGACGGAAGUCUGACCGAGCAACGCCGCGUGAGUGAAGAAGGUUUUCGGAUCGUAAACCUCUGUUGUUAGAGAAGAACGUUGGUAGGAGUGGAAAAUCUACCAAGUGACGGUAACUAACCAGAAAGGGACGGCUAACUACGUGCCAGCAGCCGCGGUAAUACGUAGGUCCCGGGCGUUGUCCGGUUUUAUUGGGCGUAAAGCGAGCGCAGGCGGUUCUUUAAGUCUGAAGUUAAAGGCAGUGGCUUAACCAUUGUACGCUUUGGAAACUGGAGGACUUGAGUGCAGAAGGGGGGAGUGGAAUUCCAUGUGUAGCGGUGAAAUGCGUAGAUAUAUGGAGGAACACCGGUGGCGAAAGCGGCUCUCUGGUCUGUAACUGACGCUGAGGCUCGAAAGCGUGGGGAGCAAACAGG